rnacentral:rRNA from 1 species
CGAGAGAUCGUAUCCUUCAGUUCGGCUGGAUCGGAGACAGGUGCUGCAUGGCUGUCGUCAGCUCGUGUCGUGAGAUGUUGGGUUAAGUCCCGCAACGAGCGCAACCCUCGCCCUUAGUUGCCAGCAUUCAGUUGGGCACUCUAAGGGGACUGCCGGUGAUAAGCCGAGAGGAAGGUGGGGAUGACGUCAAGUCCUCAUGGCCCUUACGGGCUGGGCUACACACGUGCUACAAUGGUGGUGACAGUGGGCAGCGAGACCGCGAGGUCGAGCUAAUCUCCAAAAGCCAUCUCAGUUCGGAUUGCACUCUGCAACUCGAGUGCAUGAAGUUGGAAUCGCUAGUAAUCGCAGAUCAGC